UAGGGACGGUCGGGGGCAUCAGUAUUCAGUCGUCAGAGGUGAAAUUCUUGGAUUGACUGAAGACUAACUACUGCGAAAGCAUUUGCCAAGGACGUUUUCAUUAAUCAAGAACGAAAGUUAGGGGAUCGAAGAUGAUCAGAUACCGUCGUAGUCUUAACCAUAAACUAUGCCGACUAGGGAUCGGGUGGUGCUACUUUGCCCACUCGGCACCUUACGAGAAAUCAAAGUUUUUGGGUUCUGGGGGGAGUAUGGUCGCAAGGCUGAAACUUAAAGGAAUUGACGGAAGGGCACCACCAGGAGUGGAGCCUGCGGCUUAAUUUGACUCAACACGGGGAAACUCACCAGGUCCAGACGUAAUAAGGAUUGACAAGUUAGAGACUUCUCUUGAUCUUACGGGUGGUGGUGCAUGGCCGUUUUUAGUCCUUGGAGUGAUUUGUCUGCUUAAUUGCGAUAACGGACGAGACCUUAACCUGCUAAAUAGGGCUGCGAGCAUCUGCUCGGGUGCUCUUCUUAGAGGGACUAUGGGUAUCAAACCCAUGGAAGUUUGAGGCAACAACAGGUCUGUGAUGCCCUUAGACGUUCUGGGCCGCACGCGCGCUACACUG
rnacentral:rRNA from 1 species